GUCUACAGCCAUGCCACCGUAAAUGUGUCUGAUCUUAUCUGAUCUCAGAAGCUAAGCAGGGUUGGGCCUGGUUAGUACUUGGAUGGGAGACAAAUGUUAAUAAGAUAUAGUAUACU
rnacentral:rRNA from 1 species